CAAUAGCGUAUAUUAAAGUUGUUGCAGUUAAAAAGCUCGUAGUUGGAUUUCUGGUAGGAGCGACCGUGCCGAACUUGAUUGUUCGAGUAUUGUGUUGUCUUCAGCCAUCCUCGUGGAGAACUUUUCUAACAUUAACUUGUUGGGAUUGGGACCCGCGUCGUUUACUGUGAAAAAAUUAGAGUGUUUAAAGCAGGCAUUAGCUUGAAUACAUCAGCAUGGAAUAAUAAGAUAGGACUUUGGUACUAUUUUGUUGGUUUGCAUACCAAAUUAAUGAUCAACAGGAACAGUUUGAGGAUAUUCGUAUGAACAUGUCAGAGGUGAAAUUCUUGGAUUUUGAUCAGACGAACUACUGCGAAAGCAUUUAUCAAGGAUGUUUUCAUUAA
rnacentral:rRNA from 1 species